GAUGAACGCUGGCGGCGUGCUUAACACAUGCAAGUCGAACGAUGAAGCCCAGCUUGCUGGGUGGAUUAGUGGCGAACGGGUGAGUAACACGUGAGUAACCUGCCCUUGACUCUGGGAUAAGCCUGGGAAACUGGGUCUAAUACCGGAUAGGAACGUCCACCGCAUGGUGGGUGUUGGAAAGAUUUAUCGGUCAUGGAUGGACUCGCGGCCUAUCAGCUUGUUGGUGAGGUAAUGGCUCACCAAGGCGACGACGGGUAGCCGGCCUGAGAGGGUGACCGGCCACACUGGGACUGAGACACGGCCCAGACUCCUACGGGAGGCAGCAGUGGGGAAUAUUGCACAAUGGGCGAAAGCCUGAUGCAGCGACGCCGCGUGAGGGAUGACGGCCUUCGGGUUGUAAACCUCUUUCAGUAGGGAAGAAGCGAAAGUGACGGUACCUGCAGAAGAAGCACCGGCUAACUACGUG
rnacentral:rRNA from 1 species